ensembl:lncRNA
AGAUGGCACACCAUAACACCCAAACCCUGGCUGGAGGUUCCUUUGGGAAGGUGUACAGGGAGAAGUAUAACGACAAAUGGGCCGCCGUGAAGAGGGUUCCAAUGGGGCUCAUCCACAAGGAACAGCUGGAGAGAGAGUAUAAAGUGUACUGGUGAGUUUGAGAGAGGGGCGCUCUGUUGAAUGGUGAGGUGGAGUUAAGUUGUUAGUAGACGUAUGUUGGUAAUGAAUGAACAAGUGUUGCUGGAGGCUAGAAAUUAGCGAGUGUUCAGAGACAAAUCUCCCAAGGGCAAAUUAACAUGACUUUAAACCCUUUACAAAUUUACACUGGUGAAAUGUACGAUAAGGAUGAUGUUCUAAAGAUAAUUAAAUAAGAUUUAAGAUAACUUACCUCCGAAAACUGAUAUUUACUUUUUGAUGAUUAUUUUCUGUUAUAUCACAGUAAUGCGCAGCAUCCUAAUGUGGUUGCAGUACUGGGUAAACCAUGGCUGAAGGAUGCCAAGUGGAACAUUCCUCUGGAGUUCAUUUCAGGGGAAGACCUGGAGACAACAAUCUUUUGCUCUCAGAAGUCUAAAGUAAAGUUGGCUCCUACUGUCAGAGCGACCAUUAUCAGUGGCAUGUGCGCAGGGCUGCAUCAUCUUCACAGUAAAGACAUCGUGCACCAGGACAUCAAACCUGAUAACAUCAUGGUGGAACAUGAAGCGAACCGCGCCGUCAUCAUAGAUCUAGGACUAGCUAAGUUCUUCAG